CAGCAGCCGCGGGAACACGUAGGGUGCGAGCGUUAAUCGGAAUUACUGGGUGUAAAGCGUGCGCAGGCGGUUCGUUAAGACAGAUGUGAAAUCCCCGGGCUUAACCUGGGAACUGCAUUUGUGACUGGCGAGCUAGAGUAUGGCAGAGGGGGGUAGAAUUCCACGUGUAGCAGUGAAAUGCGUAGAGAUGUGGAGGAAUACCGAUGGCGAAGGCAGCCCCCUGGGCCAAUACUGACGCUCAUGCACGAAAGCGUGGGGAGCAAACAGGAUUAGAUACCCGCGUAGUCCCUGUCUCUUAUAA
rnacentral:rRNA from 1 species